ACGGAAGGCAGCAGUGGGGAAUAUUGGGCAAUGGGCGAAAGCCUGACCCAGCAACGCCGCGUGAAGGAAGAAGGUCUUCGGAUUGUAAACUUCUUUUAUGAGGGACGAAGGACGUGACGGUACCUCAUGAAUAAGCCACGGCUAACUACGUGCCAGCAGCCGUGUUAAUACGUAGGUGGCAAUCGUUAUCCGGAUUUAAUGGGUGUAAAGGGCGCGUAGGCGGGGAUGCAAGUCAGAUGUGAAAUCUAUGGGCUUAACCCAUAAACUGCAUUUGAAACUGUAUCUCUUGAGUGCUGGAGAGGUAGAGGGAACUCCUUGUGUAGCGGUGAAAUGCGUAGAUAAAAGGAAGAACACCAGUGGCGAAGGCGAUCUACUGGACAGUAACUGACGCUGAGGCGCGAAAGCGUGGGGAGCAAACAGGAUUAGAUACCCUGGUA
rnacentral:rRNA from 1 species